UACGGAGGGUGCAAGCGUUGUCCGGAAUCACUGGGCGUAAAGGGCGCGUAGGCGGCUCGGUAAGUAGGGGGUGAAAUCCUGCGGCUUAACCGCAGGGCUGCCUUCUAAACUGUCAAGCUUGAGCACGGUAGAGGCAGAUGGAAUUCCUGGUGUAGCGGUGAAAUGCGCAGAUAUCAGGAGGAACACCGAUGGCGAAGGCAGGUCUCUGGGCCACUACUGACGCUGAGAAGCGAAAGCAUGGGGAGCGAACAGG
rnacentral:rRNA from 1 species